rnacentral:rRNA from 1 species
AGCAGCCGCGGUAAUUCCAGCUCCAAUAGCGUAUAUUAAAGUUGUUGCAGUUAAAAAGCUCGUAGUUGAAUUUCGGGGUUAGUAGGUUGGUCAUGCCUCCGGUAUGUACUGGUCUCACUGAUUCCUCCUUCCUGAUGAACCGUAAUGCCAUUAAUUUGGUGUUGCGGGGAAUUUGGACUGUUACUUUAGAAAAAUUAGAGUGUUUAAAGCAAGCUAACGCUUGAAUACAUUAGCAUGGAAUAAUGAAAUAGGACGUUCGAUCCUAUUUUGUUGGUUUCUAGGAUUGACGUAAUGAUUAAUAGGGAUAGUUGGGGGCAUUAGUAUUCAAUUGUCAGAGGUGAAAUUCUUGGAUUUAUUGAAGACUAACUACUGCGAAAGCAUUUGCCAAGGAUGUUUUCAUUAAUCAAGAACGAAAGUUAGGGGAUCGAAGACGAUCAGAU